rnacentral:lncRNA from 1 species
ACAUUUCUGUACAAGUAAUCAAAACUUAAUAGGCUUGCCAUAAAAAUACAAAACUUACAAAGCCUACUAAGAAUUGCAAUUAAUAUUUUAAUAAUUUAGAGAACACAAUAUCAUUACAUGGACAUAUAACACUUGCUAUAUAAACAAAAAAUGAUGACAUAUUAAAUCCUGAUUCAUAAUCAAAUUGAUGACAUAUGAAUGUAGCGAUUCAUUUCUUAUAACUUGUACACAACAUAGAAGUAUAAAACCAACAGAAACAAACCAGUUGGACCAUCCAGAAACAUACUGUGGCAAAAAACCAAACUGCAUAUAUUAACUUGACCAUAAGAUGAGAAAAGCAUUAGAUUCUUCCAUCUCUUCAAAAUACAUAUGGUAUCCUGAAUACAUGAAAUAAAACUAAUUAGAAUGAAAGGAAGAGACACCAAAAAUCUUUUUAAACUCAUUUACAACAUUAAAUUGCUUCAAAUUGCUAAAAUACUAUCUGUAAGGCUCGACAAUUAAAACAUAAUAGAAUAUAAACAAUAUUCAUUGAAUUGCCAAUAAGGACAAGAACACUAUGAUGACCGCAUAUGUCCAAGACAAGCACAUGCACAGAUAUAAAGAAAAAAGGUCCACAUAAGUCUAACCUUAUUAACAAUCCAGAGCAAAACCGAGCACAUGCUUAGAUGAACUAAAAAAGAGAUGUAGCACAGUGAUAACAAGAGUUAAGUCUCAAAGUAUGAAUGACACUUAACUCUAUUAUUAGAUUGCUCUAGCGGCUUCAAAUAUCUCAGCUUUGCGUUUGCAAACAACUCUCAAGAUAGUUAACGAAGGAUUUUUCGUCUGUGGCCGUAUUCUGGUUUGCCUCAAAUAUUACCUGCAUUCAAAUUAAUAAGAGUGCUUAGUUAAACCUUUUAAUAGCAGUGAUACUCAUUAUACAUGUCAAUUUAUUUAAUAUAGGAUUCCAAAAAUUCAAAAAUAUACUUUGACUAAUACAUGGGAUCAGAAGGCAUUGGGUCUAAGUUGAGCGCGUUGUUGCUUUAGUUAAGCUAGUAACCAGCUUGCUAACUUUGUGUCUUUUAGGGAUAAAAGUCACAUAAACCAUACUGCAUCAGCCACAAAUGCAAAGUUAUUAAUGACAAGGCCCUCAUAAUCUCACAUGGCAUUCUCUUUUCUGUUGACAAUGAAUCAUGCUUAUCAAUUGCUACAAGUCAAAAACAAAUUAACACACAACCUACAUCAAAUGUUUAAAUAUGGUAACAUUAUUAAAUGGAUGGGCAAAAGCACAAGUAAUCAAGUAUUGACCCGAAUAACCCAUACGCUUAUCAUUGAUUAAAAACAACAAAUCAAAUGUAGUAGAACCUGCAUAAUAAAUGUUCAUAAGUGCCUAGUAAGCAAGGUGAGUCAUUUAAUUCUUACCUUUCUACCAAACAGCUGUGUCUUUCCUAAACCUCAUUUCAUAGAACAUUGGGAUGUCUGUGUGUCCAUCAGUACCUGGUCAGCAAGACAGGUCAUUUAAAAUUUAGAACCUUUCUACCAAAUGGUUGUCUAUCUUAUACUUCAUUUCAUUUCAUAAUAUCACACGUACCUGGUGAGCAAGACAAGCCCUGAUUCAAUACAUUACAUAAAGUGAGAAUCGUCUACAUCAACUAUCGUAAUUUUACAGAUCUUUCACCUGCAAUGAAAUAUUCAAUAAAUUACACCUGAAUUAAGAACCUUUAACAAUUGAUGCAAACAUUAUAUUUCUGACCGACCAGGAGUGCUCAACUGCAGAAGAUAAAUAGAUUUAUUGAACAUAUUUUAGUACAUCUAAACAAGUGUUCUAAGUGACACAUAACAAAAAAACAAAAGGAAUCCAAUGGACACUAAAGUUGUUGAACUGCUGGAAACCCUUGGCAUUUUUCCAUACUACAACAACUCUCUGAAUAGAAUGCACAAGCUAUUAAAAUGCAUCUUUUUUUUUCAAAUGUACAAAGGUGAUUGAAUUAUGGCAGGUUCUAUUUGGAAGUACCACCCAGAUUUGGGACCUGGUCCGGGGGCAAAUAAGGUGGAAACUUUUCUUGCAGGUUGGCCAUAACUGGGAAGUGAUGAACUAAGUAAUGCUAUUGGGGCAAUGGCACCUUAUGCUAUCCUAUGGAUGAUAUGGACUAUACGGAAUGAGUGAAUAUUCAGCAAUGCAAGUUUCGAGAGCAGAGAAGCCGCAAGAAGAAUUAGAGCAACAGUUUGGGGAUGGCUCGAAGUGGACAAGGUGAAACUGCAGCACAAAACAUGCCACAGUUUCAGGGAAAUAGGCCAGGGGUGGGAACAUCUAUUCUCUGGUGCAGGACAACACUGGCAGACACAGUAACUACUCUUGGACUGUAAAGUUUUAGGCAACCAUGUUUUAAGUCUGGUUGGUAUGUGCUUUUGUAUUGUAGGUUCUCUUCUGUGUAACCUGACGGGGAUUCACCUAUUGAUCAGGGUUGUAAAGUUUGAAUGUUACUCAAUAAAAUUCUAUUUCAUACCAAAAAAAAAAAAAAAAAAUCCUUGAUAAAGCUAUGCUUAAGGACACCUUGAUUACUCCAAUUAGAUCCAUCACAGUAAUGAUGGCAUACAAAGACUUACAGUUGCUUCAAUUGUUAUAUACUAUCACAUUACAAAAUCAAUUGGCUUAAUAAAAACGACCAUAAUUAACAAACUAAGGAAUUAUGGUUUCAUCUACGACUUGCAAAAAUGUAAGCAUAACUUCCAAAAUUUUAAGUUGCUUUAAUUCUAAAGUAGGAAAAGAAAUUGAAGAAAAUUCCAAAUUAUCAAAGAUAGAAAACAUUACCUGAAAAGUACACCAAAAAACACUAUCUAGCACAAAGAAGAAAACCCUACUUGAUUUUAAAUCGGAAUCAAUUGAACAACCAAAUCCAAUUAUGAACUAUUUUAUACGAAGAGCGCAAGAGCAAGGGGGGAAGAACAAAAAGCAUUCAAGAGAAAUAAAAUACAAACAAUUUGAGAGAUGGUGAAAGCGUUGAUAGGAGAAGAAAGCUCAUUCUCGGUUGGAGUCUUGGAGAAGGAGAAGACAGAGCUUGGGAGGAAGUUAUUUUCCAUCCACGCCUUGUUUUCCAUGACGUGAUUAAAUUUGAUCUGGUGAAUAUAAUCAGUAACACAUACAGACUGUUACUAUGAUUUUUCUUUACCAUUAGAAAAUAAUUCAGAAUAUUAUUUAUUUAAGACUAAGAGCAUUCCC